GACAUCUCUGCGCUGCUUUUGUCUUUUUCUUCCAGCUAGCAACGAAAUAUUCAGAGUGUCCAUCAGGGAAGAAGGGUGGAGACUUGGGAUGGUUUCUGCACGGUAAGUUGGCUGGCUUAUUUCAGGAUGUUGCCUUUAGCACAACUGUUGGAGCUACCAGUGCACCAUUUAAAUCAACGAAUGGAUACCACAUUAUCUUGUCCUAGUGGAGGAAGAAUUGAUAGAACUUGGCAUUCAAAGUUGUGCUCUCUCGGAUUAUUAACCACCAAAUCAAAGUAAGCAUUGUGUAUUUAUCUGUGUGAGACUUUGGCUUGAUUGUGGCAUGGUUUUUAGAACAUAAUUGACUCGAUGAUGCUUCAACCUUUUAGACGUUGGUUUGAUAAGUAGUUUGUUUUUGGUAGUCCACUUUCUGUUAUAUAUA